rnacentral:tRNA from 1 species
GGUCCAAUGGUCUAGUUGGUUAGGACGUCGGAUUCUGACGCUCAUGUUGAGAGUUCCGUAAGCCCAGGUUCGAAUCCUGGUUGGACCU